GUAAAAUAAAUAUGGCAUAAUAUUUACUGCUUUCUAUUACAAACAAUGCCAGUUAAUAAACACUUGUAUUAUAUUUUUAUAACAAUACUAUUUAUUUCAAUAACUGAAUGUUCUAAAUAUCACCACGAAAGGGCUGAAGCAGAAUUGAUACGACCCAAUGAAGGGAAGAUAAGUAAUUGGUUUUGUGAACAACUAUGUUAUAAUUAUGGUUGGAAUGAGGGACAAUGCCUAGAUCCCAAGUGGUGUUUAUGCUAUGACUAAGGAAGAAUAAUUUAUAUAACUUUUUUGCCAUUAAAAGACUUCAAGCUUUG